rnacentral:rRNA from 1 species
GUAGGUGGGCAAGCGUUGUCCGGAAUUAUUGGGCGUAAAGCGCGCGCAGGGCGGUCCUUUAAGUCUGAUGUGAAAGCCCACGGCUCAACCGUGGAGGGUCAUUGGAAACUGGGGGACUUGAGUACAGAAGAGGAAAGCGGAAUUCCAAGUGUAGCGGUGAAAUGCGUAGAGAUUUGGAGGAACACCAGUGGCGAAGGCGGCUUUCUGGUCUGUAACUGACGCUGAGGCGCGAAAGCGCGGGGAGCAAACAGGAUUAGAUACCCUGGUAGUCCACGCCGUAAACGAUGAGUGCUAAGUGUUAGGGGGUUUCCGCCCCUUAGUGCUGCAGCUAACGCAUUAAGCACUCCGCCUGGGGAGUACGGCCGCAAGGCUG